rnacentral:rRNA from 1 species
CAGGCCUUGACAUCAUCUCCACAGUUGGUGAAAGCCACGGAGUCCCCGAAGGGCAAUUUGCACAGGUGCUGCAUGGCUGUCGUCAGCUCGUGACGUGAGAUGUUGGGUUAAGUCCCGCAACGAGCGCAACCCYUGUCAACUGUUGCCACCGAGCGUGAGCGUCAUGGGCACUCUGUUCAGACUGCCCCGCUUUAACNGGAGGAAGGUGGGGACGACGUCAAGUCAGUAUGGCCCUUACGGCCUGGGCUGCACACGUACUACAAUGCCCAGCACAAAGCGAUCCGAGACCGCUAAGGUGGAGAGAAUCUCUAAAACUGGCGCCAGUUCAGAUUGCAGUCUGCAACUCGACUUCAUGAAGUUGGAAUCGCUAGUAAUGGCGCAUCAGCUACGGCGCGUGAAUACGUUCCC